UACGGAGGAUGCAAGCGUUAUCCGGAAUUAUUGGGCGUAAAGAGCGCGCAGGUGGUUGAUUAAGUCUGAUGUGAAAGCCCACGGCUUAACCGUGGAGGGUCAUUGGAAACUGGUCGACUUGAGUGCAGAAGAGGGAAGUGGAAUUCCAUGUGUAGCGGUGAAAUGCGUAGAUAUCGGGAGGAACACCAGUGGCGAAGGCGACUUCCUGGCACAAUACUGACGCUCAUGUGCGAAAGCUAGGGUAGCGAACCGGAUUAGA
rnacentral:rRNA from 1 species